rnacentral:rRNA from 1 species
AUUGAACGCUGGCGGCAUGCUUUACACAUGCAAGUCGAACGGUAACAGGCCUUCGGGUGCUGACGAGUGGCGAACGGGUGAGUAAUGCAUCGGAACGUACCCAGAGGUGGGGGAUAACGCAGCGAAAGCUGUGCUAAUACCGCAUGUGAUCUGAGGAUGAAAGCGGGGGACCGAGCAGCAAUGUUUGGCCUCGCGCCUUUGGAGCGGCCGAUGUCGGAUUAGCUAGUUGGUGGGGUAAAGGCCUACCAAGGCGACGAUCCGUAGCUGGUCUGAGAGGACGACCAGCCACACUGGGACUGAGACACGGCCCAGACUCCUACGGGAGGCAGCAGUGGGGAAUUUUGGACAAUGGGCGCAAGCCUGAUCCAGCAAUGCCGCGUGCGGGAAGAAGGCCUUCAGGUUGUAAACCGCUUUUGGCAGGAACGAAACGGUGUCCGCUAAUACCGGGCGCUAAUGACGGUACCUGCAGAAUAAGCACCGGCUAACUACGUG